rnacentral:sRNA from 1 species
UCCAGACGAACUGCUAGCCACAACUGA